rnacentral:rRNA from 1 species
CCGUCUUGAAACACGGACCAAGGAGUCUAACAUGUGCGCGAGUCAUUGGGUCUGACUAAACCUAAAGGCGCAAUGAAAGUGAAGGCAGCCUCGGGUUUGCCUAGGUAGGAUCCUCUUCCGAGAAAGAGGAGGCGCACUACCGGCCCGUCUCGUCCGCAUYGCGGUGAGGCGGAGCGAGAGCGUACACGUUGGGACCCGAAAGAUGGUGAACUAUGCCUGAGUAGGACGAAGCCAGAGGAAACUCUGGUGGAAGUCCGUAGCGAUUCUGACGUGCAAAUCGAUCGUCGAACUUGGGUAUAGGGGCGAAAGACUAAUCGAACCGUCUAGUAGCUGGUUCCUUUCCGAA